rnacentral:rRNA from 1 species
GAUGAACGCUAGCUACGGGCUUAACACAUGCAAGUCGAGGGGUAACAAGAGGAAAGCUUGCUUUUCUUGUUGACGACCGGCGCACGGGUGAGUAACGCGUAUCCAACCUGCCUAUAACUAGGGAAUAACCUUGCGAAAGUAAGACUAAUACCCUAUGAUUUCCUUUGAUGACAUCAGAUUAGGAAUAAAGAUUUAUCGGUUAUAGAUGGGGAUGCGUCUGAUUAGCUUGUUGGCGGGGUAACGGCCCACCAAGGCAACGAUCAGUAGGGGUUCUGAGAGGAAGGUCCCCAACAUUGGAACUGAGACACGGUCCAAACUCCUACGGGAGGCAGCAGUGAGGAAUAUUGGUCAAUGGGCGGAAGCCUGAACCAGCCAAGUAGCAUGCAGGAUGACGGCCCUAUGGGUUGUAAACUGCUUUUAUACAGGAAUAAAGUUAGCCACGUGUGGUUAUUUGUAGGUACUGUAUGAAUAAGGACCGGCUAAUUCCGUGCCAGCCGCCGCCGUAA